rnacentral:rRNA from 1 species
GAUGAACGCUGGUGGCGUGCCUAAUACAUGCAAGUCGAGCGAACAGACGAGGAGCUUGCUCCUCUGACGUUAGCGGCGGACGGGUGAGUAACACGUGGAUAACCUACCUAUAAGACUGGGAUAACUUCGGGAAACCGGAGCUAAUACCGGAUAAUAUAUUGAACCGCAUGGUUCAAUAGUGAAAGACGGUUUUGCUGUCACUUAUAGAUGGAUCCGCGCCGCAUUAGCUAGUUGGUAAGGUAACGGCCUACCAAGGCAACGAUGCGUAGCCGACCUGAGAGGGUGAUAGGCCACACUGGAACUGAGACACGGUCCAGACUCCUACGGGAGGCAGCAGUAGGGUAUCUUCCGCAAAGGGCGAAAGCAUGACGGAGCAACGCCGAGUGAGUGAUGAAGGUCUUCGGAUCGUAAAACUCUGUUAUUAGGGAAGAACAAAUGUGUAAGUAACUAUGCACGUCUUGACGGUACCUAAUCAGAAAGCCACGGCUAACUACGUG